AUUUGUUUUCACAAUUUCCAGAACCUAUUGGCUUUGGCCAUGACAUCGUGUGUUACCAUUCCCUUUUGAGUGUUUGGACAUGCGAAGCCCCGUGGAAGCGUGCUUAAUGCAGAUGAGAACCUAUUGGCUUUGGCCAUGACAUCGUGUGUUACCAUUCCCUUUUGAGUGUUUGGACAUGCGAAGCCCCGUGGAAGCGUGCUUAAUGCAGAUGAGCCCUCAGGGAACAGGCGCCAGCUCCUGAGGAGAUGAGAGGAACCAGCAAGCCCAGUGGCAAGAGCAAGGGAAUGGCUUCUGGAGGAGCAGCUGAGGAGCGCGGCAGAGCUCUCUGUCCUCCUGCCCUGCAGAGGCAGGGUCAGCAGCCGUAAGAAAGGGGAUGCAGAGGUGUGGGCAGGGGUGGCAGCGCUUUGGAGCCCCCCCUGGUGUCCUGGCAGGCACGGGAAGGCUUCUUGCCGCCAAGGUGGAUGAGGCCGGGGGCACGUGGCCCCUCUGGGAAGCCCCUGCCUGAGGUGGCUGCCGAGUGAGGAAGACUAGGGCUUGGGCACGUGCUGGGAGGCGUGAGCAGGCUGUGGGAGGAGGAAGCAGGUCUUGCUCGCGUGCUGAGGGAAUAGCCGAUCGGCAGCUGUGGGGUCAGGAAGGAAUUUUCCCCCGGGGCAGAUUGGCACUGCUCCCCGGGGGUUUUUUGCCUUCCUCUGGAGCACUGAGCAUGAGCACUUGUCAGGGCUCCUGCGGUCCCUUUUGGCUAGGCUACUGCCUGCUGCUCAUGCCCCACGAAGAUGGCCUGUUGUGCCCUGCAGGUGGGGGGAGGAAGGCUUUUUUUCCCCCGCGGUGGGCUAGCAAGUGUCUGCGGGGGUUUUUUGCCUUCCUCUGCAGCA